UGGGGAAUCUUGCACAAUGGGCGAAAGCCUGAUGCAGCGACGCCGCGUGCGGGAUGAAGGCCUUCGGGUUGUAAACCGCUUUCAGUGGGGACGAGGCCGCGAGGUGACGGUACCCACAGAAGAAGCCCCGGCUAACUACGUGCCAGCAGCCGCGGUAAUACGUAGGGGGCAAGCGUUAUCCGGAUUCAUUGGGCGUAAAGCGCUCGUAGGCGGUCCGUUAGGUCGGGAGUUAAAUCCGGGGGCUCAACCCCCGCCCGCUCCCGAUACCGGCGGACUUGAGUUUGGUAGGGGAAAGUGGAAUUCCCAGUGUAGCGGUGGAAUGCGCAGAUAUUGGGAAGAACACCAGUGGCGAAGGCGGCUUUCUGGGCCACAACUGACGCUGAGGAGCGAAAGCUAGGGGAGCGAACAGG
rnacentral:rRNA from 2 species